CCCGAGUCGGGUUACUCGUCUCCAAUAUUCACGAAAAUGGUUUAUCAGAAAGGGGUCUGGUAUGUCUACCCUAAUUUCGUUUUACAUAUGUAAUUGGAAGAAGGUAAGAGGCAUGAGAGAACAGAUUUAGAUACCGUUCGAAGAAUCUGUUACGAAUUUCUUGAAUAGGAUAGAUCGAAUAUGUUAAUUUCGGUGUCGGUGGAGUACUGUGAAUAACCCUUUAAGCCGUAUGACAAAAAGAAACGGGCACAGUUGAGUUGGUGGAUUCAAAUUAUGAUUUGCUGGAGCUUAUGAUUGAGAAUAGUGAGGAACGGAGCAUUUUCGAUCAAUGGUGACAGUUUAUCGAAGAGAAAGGGCACGCGCGGCCUCGUCAGUCAUGAAGAUUGUUGCUGAGUCUGUGAUAUCCGUUAAAUUGCCGAAACCUUGUAACUGUCAAUAUAAAUGUUGUUAUGCACAUACUGUUACUGAUAAUAAAUAAUAUAGUAUCGUUUGGAGCAGUGCGUACAGAAGCUUGGGAUCAUUGACAGUUCCGUGUUUUAUGCAGAACCAAUCGUUGCCCUUUUUAUUUGUUGACUUUCCACAUGUAUUGCAGGUAACAUGAAACCAACAAUCUUUAAAGACAAAGUCGGAUAUUGUAGCCUUUAUAACAAAUUUUUUAUCCUGAUGUAUUUUUUGGAUACUCAGUAAUAGUUAUUACAAGUAGAAUCAUGAAGUUACAUUUGUGUAUGAUUUUUUACCACAAUUUGAGAGUAGUCUGAGGCUUUUAACUGUUGUAAGGUUAUUGUUACUGGUGAUGGAGAUGGUAUUGAGUGAAAUUGGUUGCCAAACCUGAUGAUGUGUAAAUGUAUGUAAUAAGAACUCAAUAUGUUGUAUCUGUUUGUGACUAUGAAUCCAAAUUGAAAUUUUAGUUUUA